UGAGGAAUAUUGGUCAAUGGGCGCAAGCCUGAACCAGCCAUCCCGCGUGAAGGAAGAAGGCGCUAUGCGUUGUAAACUUCUUUUCCAGGGGAAUAAAAUUCUGUACGUGUACGGAAUUGAAGGUACCCUGGGAAUAAGCAUCGGCUAACUCCGUGCCAGCAGCCGCGGUAAUACGGAGGAUGCAAGCGUUAUCCGGAUUUAUUGGGUUUAAAGGGUGCGCAGGCGGAGUAGUAAGUCAGUGGUGAAAACCUGCAGCUUAACUGUAGAAUUGCCGUUGAUACUGCUGCUCUUGAGUGUGGUCAAGGUAGGCGGAAUGUGUAAUGUAGCGGUGAAAUGCUUAGAUAUUACACAGAACACCGAUUGCGAAGGCAGCUUACUGGGCCAUUACUGACGCUCAUGCACGAAAGCGUGGGGAUCGAACAG
rnacentral:rRNA from 1 species